ensembl:snoRNA LOC120103348 small nucleolar RNA SNORA17
ACUGCCUCGGGAGGGGUGCAGGUGUGGCUGCUGUGCCACACGACCACCAGUGCGUGCAGAGAGGCUCUGGUACCCCGUGUUCUGACCUAUGAACAUUGCAAUGGUUAGUAGAAGACU